UACGUAGGGAGCAAGCGUUGUCCGGAAUCAUUGGGCGUAAAGCGCGCGUAGGUGGCCCCAUAAGUCCGCUGUGAAAGUCAAAGGCUCAACCUUUGAAAGCCGGUGGAUACUGUGGGACUAGAGUACGGAAGAGGCGAGUGGAAUUCCUGGUGUAGCGGUGGAAUGCGCAGAUAUCAGGAGGAACACCAAUAGCGAAGGCAGCUCGCUGGGACGUUACUGACGCUGAGGAGCGAAAGCGUGGGGAGCGAACAGG
rnacentral:rRNA from 1 species